rnacentral:rRNA from 1 species
GAACGCUGGCGGCGUGCUUAACACAUGCAAGUCGAACGGUGAAGCAGAGCUUGCUCUGUGGAUCAGUGGCGAACGGGUGAGUAACACGUGAGCAACCUGCCCCUGACUCUGGGAUAAGCGCUGGAAACGGCGUCUAAUACUGGAUAUGAGCUGCGACCGCAUGGUCAGCAGUUGGAAAGAUUUUUCGGUCUGGGAUGGGCUCACGGCCUAUCAGCUUGUUGGUGAGGUAAUGGCUCACCAAGGCGUCGACGGGUAGCCGGCCUGAGAGGGUGACCGGCCACACUGGGACUGAGACACGGCCCAGACUCCUACGGGAGGCAGCAGUGGGGAAUAUUGCACAAUGGGCGAAAGCCUGAUGCAGCAACGCCGCGUGAGGGAUGACGGCCUUCGGGUUGUAAACCUCUUUUAGCAGGGAAGAAGCGAAAGUGACGGUACCUGCAGAAAAAGCGCCGGCUAACUACGUGCCAGCAGCCGCGGUAAUACGUAGGGCGCAAGCGUUAUCCGGAAUUAUUGGGCGUAAAGAGCUCGUAGGCGGUUUGUCGCGUCUGCUGUGAAAUCCCGAGGCUCAACCUCGGGUCUGCAGUGGGUACGGGCAGACUAGAGUGCGGUAGGGGAGAUUGGAAUUCCUGGUGUAGCGGUGGAAUGCGCAGAUAUCAGGAGGAACACCGAUGGCGAAGGCAGAUCUCUGGGCCGUUACUGACGCUGAGGAGCGAAAGGGUGGGGAGCAAACAGGCUUAGAUACCCUGGUAGUCCACCCCGUAAACGUUGGGAACUAGUUGUGGGGUCCAUUCCACGGAUUCCGUGACGCAGCUAACGCAUUAAGUUCCCCGCCUGGGGAGUACGGCCGCAAGGCUAAAACUCAAAGGAAUUGACGGGGACCCGCACAAGCGGCGGAGCAUGCGGAUUAAUUCGAUGCAACGCGAAGAACCUUACCAAGGCUUGACAUAUACGAGAACGGGCCAGAAAUGGUCAACUCUUUGGACACUCGUAAACAGGUGGUGCAUGGUUGUCGUCAGCUCGUGUCGUGAGAUGUUGGGUUAAGUCCCGCAACGAGCGCAACCCUCGUUCUAUGUUGCCAGCACGUAAUGGUGGGAACUCAUGGGAUACUGCCGGGGUCAACUCGGAGGAAGGUGGGGAUGACGUCAAAUCAUCAUGCCCCUUAUGUCUUGGGCUUCACGCAUGCUACAAUGGCCGGUACAAAGGGCUGCAAUACCGUGAGGUGGAGCGAAUCCCAAAAAGCCGGUCCCAGUUCGGAUUGAGGUCUGCAACUCGACCUCAUGAAGUCGGAGUCGCUAGUAAUCGCAGAUCAGCAACGCUGCGGUGAAUACGUUCCCGGGUCUUGUACACACCGCCCGUCAAGUCAUGAAAGUCGGUAACACCUGAAGCCGGUGGCCCAACCCUUGUGGAGGGAGCCGUCGAAGGUGG